GUAUGCGCGGCUCUGUGGAGCGCGGCUGGGGUUGGGGGCACUGUGCCUCCAGCCCCCUGCUCCUUUGGACUCUACUUCUGUUUGCAGCCCCAUUUGGCCUGCUGGGGGAGAAGACCCGCCAGCUACUUGAGUUUGACAGCACCAACGUGUCCAAUACGGCAGCAAAGCCUCCAGGAAGACCGUAUCCUCCAUACUCCUUGGCCGAUUUCUCUUGGAACAACAUCACUGAUUCAUUGGAUCCUGCCACCCUGAGUGCCACAUUUCAAGGCCACCCCAUGAACGACCCUACCAGGACUUUUGCCAAUGGCAGCCUGGCCUUCAGGGUCCAGGCCUUUUCCAGGUCCAGCCGACCAGCCCAACCCCCUCGCCUCCUGCACACAGCAGACACCUGUCAGCUAGAGGUGGCCCUGGUUGGAGCCUCUCCCCGGGGAAACCAUUCCCUGUUUGGGCUGGAGGUAGCCACAUUGGGCCAGGGCCCUGACUGUCCCUCAAUGCAGGAGCAGCACUCCAUCGAUGAUGAAUAUGCACCGGCCGUCUUCCAGGUCAGGCUUCCUGGAGAGAGGCAGAUGGGUGAGGAAUGCAGGUGGGACACCAUUGGGACCUAAAACUCUUUCAACCAUUUGCCAUUUAGCAACACUUUCUUUGGGUCGUUUAAGAGCUAGGCACUGUGCUAAUGAAUCUGACCAGUCUCUGCCCUCAGUGGAGACAGACAGGAAGUGCAAUACGACUUACACUCUGGCAGAUGGAGAUCUGCAAGGGCCUGGGGGCCGAGAGGAGGGCUGAGUCCAGACUUGGAGGCUUGGAAAACAACUCAGUCCUCACCCAGUCAAACUCCCCAUUUUUACAGAGGAGGGAUUGAGGCCCUGCCUAGGACUCAGGACUCCUGCUGCUAGUCACAGAAUAAGGCUGGGAGAGGCAGGGAAAAGAGGGUUGGGCACAGC
rnacentral:sRNA from 1 species